AGAGCGAACGCUGGCGGCAGGCUUAACACAUGCAAGUCGAGCGCCCCGCAAGGGGAGCGGCAGACGGGUGAGUAACACGUGGGAACGUGCCUUUUGGUUCGGAACAACUGAGGGAAACUUCAGCUAAUACCGGAUAAGCCCUUACGGGGAAAGAUUUAUCGCCAAAAGAUCGGCCCGCGUCUGAUUAGCUAGUUGGUGGGUAAUGGCCCACCAAGGCGACGAUCAGUAGCUGGUCUGAGAGGAUGAUCAGCCACACUGGGACUGAGACACGGCCCAGACUCCUACGGGAGGCAGCAGUGGGGAAUAUUGGACAAGUGGGCGCAAGCCUGAUCCAGCCAUGCCGCGUGAGUGAUGGAAGGCCCUAGGGUUGUAAAGCUCUUUCGACGGGAAGAUAAGUGACGGUACCGUAGAAGAGCCCGGCUAACUUCGUGCCAGCAGCCGC
rnacentral:rRNA from 1 species